GUGGUUGUAGCUCAGUGGUCGAGCACUCGCCUAGCAAGUGUGAGACCCUGGGUUUGAUCCUCACCACCACA
rnacentral:tRNA from 1 species